AGUGAACGCUGGCGGUAGGCCUAACACAUGCAAGUCGAACGGCAGCACAGUAAGAGCUCGUUCUUACGGGUGGCGAGUGGCGGACGGGUGAGGAAUACAUCGGAAUCUACUUUUUCGUGGGGGAUAACGUAGGGAAACUUACGCUAAUACCGCAUACGACCUACGGGUGAAAUCAGGGGAUCUUCGGACCUUGCGCGAUUCAAUGAGCCGAUGUCGGAUUAGCUAGUUGGCGGGGUAAAGGCCCACCAAGGCGACGAUCCGUAGCUGGUCUGAGAGGAUGAUCAGCCACACUGGAACUGAGACACGGUCCAGACUCCUACGGGAGGCAGCAGUGGGGAAUAUUGGACAAUGGGCGCAAGCCUGAUCCAGCCAUGCCGCGUGGGUGAAGAAGGCCUUCGGAUUGUAAAGCCCUUUUAUUGGGGAAGAAAAGCAGCAGGUUAAUACCCCGCUGUUCUGACGGUACCCAAAGAAUAAGCACCGGCUAACUUCGUG
rnacentral:rRNA from 1 species